CUACGGGUCGCUGCAGUGGGGAAUAUUGCACAAUGGAGGAAACUCUGAUGCAGCAACGCCGCGUGGAGGAUGACACUUUUCGGAGCGUAAACUCCUUUUAUAUAGGAAGAAGAUGACGGUACUAUAUGAAUAAGCGCCGGCUAACUCCGUGCCAGCAGCCGCGGUAAUACGGAGGGCGCAAGCGUUACUCGGAAUCACUGGGCGUAAAGAGCGUGUAGGCGGAUUAAAAAGUCAGAAGUGAAAUCCUAUAGCUUAACUAUAGAACUGCUUCUGAAACUCUUAAUCUAGAAUAUGGGAGAGGUAGAUGGAAUUUCUGGUGUAGGUGUAAAAUCCGUAGAGAUCAGAAGGAAUACCGAUUGCUAAGUCGACCUACUAGAACAUUAUUGACUCUGAGACGCGAACUCGUGGGUAGCAAACCGGAUUAGAUACCCCCGUAGUC
rnacentral:rRNA from 1 species